UACGGAGGGUGCAAGCGUUGUUCGGAAUUACUGGGCGUAAAGGGCUCGUAGGCGGCCAACUAAGUCAGACGUGAAAUCCCUCGGCUCAACUGGGGAAGGUCAUUCGAUACUGUUCGGCUUGAAGAUAGGGGAGGGAAGCGGAAUUUCAGGUGUAGUGGUGAAAUGCGUAGAUAUCUGAAGGAACACCAGUGGCGAAGGCGGCUUUCUGGCCUAUUCUUGACGCUGAGGCGCGAAAGCUAGGGGAGCGAACGGG
rnacentral:rRNA from 1 species